UGGUGGUCGUCGUCAUCGGCAAUAUCCACAAUUGCCAUGGGAAGCUCUCUGGUGGGCUGCGGAUCGAGUACGAGCGGCUCGGCCUGGAUGACUACGCUGAAGGGGAGGAGGGGGUGAUCUAGACAUGCUCUACGAGGUCUUCCAGUCCCAUCUCUAUCUCAAGGGAGACGUCGAGGCUGAUAACGAUGACGACCUGCAAAAGAGUUUUGUUCAUUAAGAUGAAGGAAACUGCUGCUGCCAUCCGUCGUGAGUACAUGUCGUUCAGCAUCAGUGCAGGGGUCAAAAGGCUGCUUGUGUAUGAUUACAUGCCGUUCGGCGGUGGCCUGGAGACCCAUCUGUUCGAUAACCGAGGGUUUUCUAGACAAGCAUGGCCCUGACAGGAUUCUUGAUACACCAAUCAUGGAGGAUGGUUUGUGGCAUUGGUUUUGUUGCUUACCACCAUGGUCUGGAACAUUUAUUUGAGUUCUUGACAUUUAACUUCUCCAUACAGCUCCAGCUGCACCUUGGCUUCGACUACUUUCUCCUUCACCUCCGCCAUCGCUGUUGUGCGAUGGUGAUGAGUUCACUGCGCUGCAAGCCUGCAACCAUGGCGUUGGUGCCUUAGUUUUUGUCUCCGUGUGUUUGGAUGAGGAGUGGUGGCUUGUAACAAGUGCUGCAUCAGCAAUGGAGACAUGGUAGGAGGGCUCUUAAACAGCGGCGGCACCGAUGCAGACACACCAUAUAAGCUGCUUGGCUGCAGCUUAUCCACCGCUGGACCACCUACUUGUCGCCUAUGCAAGAAGGCGUUUUGUUUGGUGAAAAUCUGUGAGGAUGGAAGGCCUUGUCCAUGAGCAUGGACGUCAGUCGCCCGAUGUUCAUUGAGGCCACUAGUUCCGCUUUGUCGUUCUUGUCUUGCCCAGAGCAUGUAUAUAUAGUGCGCAAUGCUGGUUUCCGGCUUGGUCACACCGUUGUCUAGUUGCUGGAAACCUAAAAUGCAUGUGCUAGGUCAUUUUUAGCCAAGUCGACUCCCUGUUGUGAUCCAUGAACUUUAUUUUUACAGAAUUGUAAAUGGCAUGGAAAAUUAAUACUAGGUUUUUGUCUUGGCUGAAUUUGGGACGGAAGGAUGGACGACGUCUCAAAUUAAUUCUUGCUUGAUGCCUGAUGACCGA